AGUAUUUCUGGAUCCAGAAAGGGUGUGCCCUAUAUUCAAUAAGACCAGCAGGAUUUGUUGGAAUCUGUUCAUGAGACACAUAUCCCAAAUCCCAACACCAAUUGACUAUAAGUAGAUAUUUGAUGAAAAACAUACUCUGUAUAUGUUAAUUCCAUUCAUAGAAACAACAUCACAACUCAUGAAUGUUCACUCUUUACCCAGACAACCUCAUUAAAUCAGAAAGCAGUAUAAGAAAGCACCUCAGUUACAAGUUAGAGAUUAUGGACCGGAAAAAGUACUUACAAAGUGCUUGCAAACAUCACAUUUUGGGUGAUAAUUCUCCUUGUAGCAAGAUUUAUGGUAUGGAAAAUUCCCAGAAGUAGAAAACUAUAAGAAAAAAAGGAUCAUGUCUUGUAAGAGAGAGCCAAGAAAAAUACUUUUAGCUCUGGAAUGAUGUAGAAAAGAAUUUUCACCUCGUAGUCUGAUAUUGGGAGGUUGCAAGCGCGACAACGGAAACAUUCUGGAUGCCAAAAUGCAUUGAGGCAGUUCAAGUAACGUCCAUAGCCAAUCUCAUUAUAGCAGCCAGCACAUAUUCUAACCAGAUUCAAAACUUGUUAAAAUAUACUGUCAUAUUUCUUUUUCUCAUCAGUUAGUUGACAAUAAAUUCGUUGAACAAAGAAAAGAAAAGGUUCACACUGUAAAAUGUAGCCCAAAAGUUUCAAGAUUUUAUUUUCUUAGAAAUUAAAUAGACUCAAAAGCUGAGAAGCUUCAAAAAAGUACUAAUAGAAACAAAGAUAAGAGCUUCUUGCUAGAGAUGGAAAUGAACAUUAGUACCUGGAACCAAAUUGAUAUUGAGGUAGAUAAGGUUGAUACA